GUUACGGUAGAGGAAGGGUGCAUGUGGACCAGGUCAUAAGUGGGGUCCUGGCCUGGGUCCAUCUCACAAUGGGCCUAUUGUAGCCAGGGACCCACUUGGUGGUCAUUUUCCCAGCCCCUGAGUGUACAAAGGGAAGAAAAUACUUAGCGGUUGGCAGAAUCUUCGAGCUGGUUCCAGGAGCUGCAGAGCCUGCUAUUGUACUAGCAAAGGCCAGGUGGAAGCCCCUGAUACAGUCCCUCGAUAGAUAGCCCUCCGCCCGUCCCGUCCCAGCCAAGGUCGUAAGUCAACAUCAAUGUUGCAUUUCUGGAGGAAUGACAGAGACUAGCGCCAUCUUCAGAGACUUGAAGGAGGCAGGAGUAGGGUCCUUAUCACAGGCCCAUUGAAUUUACCAGUCUGGCCCCUGCAAAAACUGGAUGGGUCACAGCAGAUGACCGUGGACAACUGGAGACUCAACCAACCAGGGCAGCCUCUAAGAAGGACGUGGCAUCUUUGCCGGAGUGGGUUAAUACCAUCCUGGGUGUAUGGGAUGUGGCUGUUGAUCUGGCCGACAUGUACAUCCACGGCCUUCCCCCAGGCUGUGUUAAUUUUCCAGCGUGUUAAUCAGACUGAUGAGCAAGAAGCAGCAGGCGUGUUGGAAGCCUUGGUGGAAUGUGUCUGCUCUGAAGGCUGGAGACAGGCAAACUGAAAGAUUCAGGGCUCCGCCACAUUGGGGGAGUUUUAAAAGGUCCAGUGGUGUGGGCAUGUCGGGUCAUCUCCUCUGACGUAAAGGGCAGCUCAUUGCACCCUGUCCCUUCCACCAUCAGGAAAGAAGCACAACUCUCAGUGGCGUCUCUGGGUUUGGGGAACAGCGCAUUCAACACUGGGGACUCCUGCUUUGGCCCAUUUCUUGGGUGACACAGAAGGCUGCAAGUUUGGAGCGUCUAUGAUGCAUGCAUCCGUGCUUGGGACACGUGACCCGCCAGACCCUGGGGUCCUAGAGGUAUCUGUAGGAGAAAAGCUCCCAUAGGAAAGCCGUAGUGCAGGUCCCGAGGUGCUGGAACAAGGCCAUGCCAUUUGCAGAAGAGAAGGGCUCCUGAGAUGCCACCAGGCCCCAUUAGAAACUAAGCAUCUGACUGGGGGACAUCCAGUGGCCAAGUGGCCACAACUUUUCAUCAUGAGCUGAUGAGCCACCUGCCAGCUCACAAGGCCAGGCCUCUGUCACAACACAGAAGGGCACAUCAGGGAUGGGCUCACAAAGGUCCCGAAGCUGCAUGAACAGGAGGCCUAGAUCCCAUGCCACCUACCACUGUUGCACCAAUGCCCCUCUCAGCUCACACCUCGUGGGGGUCUCCCCGUGACCAGCUGAGAGGACGGACAAGGCUGAGGUUGGUUCGUGCAUGGAUCGGGCUCAGUGUUGGUGUGCGCUGAAGACAAUUGCGGUUGCACUCACUUCCUGCUGGGGGCGUGGCCUCAAAGACAGUGGGCGGAGCUUUGGGUGGACCCCUGGCCACCUAUGUGUGUAAAGAGAGAAGUGGCCUGAGGUCAGGGUAUGCGUGGGCUCAGGGGCAGUGGCUGAACUGGUCGGGAGAGUCUGCAAGGAGCAAGACAGGAAGAAUGGGAAGAUGUGGGGGAGGCGUGUGCGUGGACUGGGGGAGGGGCACACCGCGUGAGGAUCCUCGUCUCCCACGUUAACCCCUGGGAGCAUCCGGUGCACAGGGACACUAAACAACCAGGUGGACGGGAUGACCCUGCCAGCCUUUGUCCUGGGCGGCCACCGCACUUGGGCCACAGGCUCAUGAAGUGGAACAGUUACGGUGGCAGAGCUGGACGCCACUCCUGGGCCCGAGAGAAGGUGUUUCUACUCAUCGAGGCUGCUGUGGUUGCUGCACCUCUGCGUGUCUGACCUGUCAGCUACUGAGGCCGACUCUAAGCUCCCGAGAUGGUACCAUCCCCUUGAGGCGGCCAACCAGCCAGGCACUUGGUGGCAAGUUAAUUUCAUUGGACCCCCUUCCAUCUUGGAAAAGGCAGUGAGUCACCGGGAUCCAUUGACGUGAUUCUGGAUAUGGGCUUGCAUUUCCUGAUUUUAGAGUCUGGGCCAACCCCGCUGUCUAUGGGCUCACAGGGUGGCUGAUUCACUGGCGUGGAUCCUGAGCAACACCACCCAUGGCCAAGGGAUUGACCUUCUGGGAAAAGUGCAGCAGCAGGCACGUGGCCACGGGACCCACCCCUCCACUGUAGACUGCACGUCCAGGGCUGCCCGCCUGUGAGAGCGGUGGCGCGGCUCUCAGUGCACGGCUGGAUGACACCCUGGAAUCACCCUUCAGGGAGCAAUUGCUCCUUCAGCUAAGCGAUCGUGUGGCACUGUGUCCGCUCGAGACAGCAUACGGGGUAGAAAGAGGAGUGGCUCCCCUCGCUCUUACUCCUGGGACCCACAUGGGGAAUUUGUGGCUCCGGUCCUGGUUUUGGGUGUGAGAGUGUGCGUGCAUGUGCUUCCACAGGGGACGUGGUAAGGGUUCCACCCAACUUCAAGCUGCCGUUCUGCCUGUCUCUCUGGGCCCCCGUGCCAGUGGCGCAGCAGGCACAGAAAGGCGACUCCAUGCGGGCAGGAUGCGAGGUCCCGGCCAUCAUGAGGAACCAGUGCUGCUGGAUGGUGGGGACAGGGAGGGUGUGACGGGCACUCAGGUGUCCACCCAGCGAUUGUGACCAAGUGUGCUGGAGAAGAUGUGCCUGGAUGGAGGAGUGGAUGCACGAAGCAGGUAGUCAAGCAUAUCACUAGAAGUGGAACGCUGGGUCAACUGUGUGUGUAUAUGAAUUUCAAGAGCUGUUAUCGAAUGCCUUCCAUCGAUGGUGCCAAUUCACACGUCCAGCACUGCAGUAUGAGAAGGUGUUUGCCCCUCAGCUUUGCCAACAGCGCCCCAUCAAAUUUUGCUUCUUUGUUGAUCUUUCAGUGAAUAACUGUAUCAUUUUAGCUGUAAUUGGCAUUUCUCUCAGUAUGAGUGAGGUCAAGCAUCUUUUC
ensembl:lncRNA